AGGGCACUUUGUACUGCAACGCGAUUAAACAAAUCAGGAAAAAUGCGCAACAACGGACAGCACCAGCGAAUGAUCCAUACCCUGAAAAUUUGCAACUUUACUGCAAAAAUCUAAUGAAUUCUUUUCCGAUUGCGACACCAUCGGAUCCACUUGGAACUACCGGCGAACUUUGAAUGGAAUGGAGAGAAUCAGAGCAUCGUACAAAAAGGAGCUUACUUUCCGCAAAUACAUUGCAGAAAACAUUGGACACGCAC